UACGGAGGGUGCAAGCGUUAUCCGGAUUCACUGGGUUUAAAGGGUGCGUAGGCGGGCAGGUAAGUCCGUGGUGAAAGCCCCGAGCUUAACUUGGGAAUUGCGCUCGAAACUACGUGGCUGGAGUGUGGCAGAGGAAGGUGGAAUUCCAGGUGUAGCGGUGAAAUGCGUAGAGAUCUGGAGGAACACCGAUGGCGAAGGCAGCCUUCUGGGCCAACACUGACGCUCAUGCACGAAAGCGUGGGGAGCAAACAGG
rnacentral:rRNA from 1 species